UACGGGGGGGGCAAGCGCUGUUCGGAAUUACUGGGCGUAAAGGGCUCGUAGGUGGCCAACUAAGUCAGACGUGAAAUCCCUCGGCUUAACCGGGGAACUGCGUCUGAUACUGGACGGCUUGAGAUUGGGAGAGGGAUGCGGAAUUCCAGGUGUAGCGGUGAAAUGCGUAGAUAUCUGGAGGAACACCGGUGGCGAAGGCGGCAUCCUGGACCAACACUGACGCUGAGGAGCGAAAGCCAGGGGAGCAAACGGG
rnacentral:rRNA from 1 species